UACAGGCGUCAGCCACCGCGCCCGGCCUAUAAUUUUUUUUUUUAACUCCUUCACUGUUGUUGGCAGAAUUUAGUUUCUUCCUGUUACAAGGAUUGAGGUCGCCAUUUCCUUGCUGGUAGUCACCUGAGGACUGUUCCCAGAUUCUAGAGACUGCCUGCAUACCUUGGCUUAUCACCUUCCACUGCCUGCAUACCUUGGCUUAUGCCCUUUCUCCUGCAUCUUCCAAGCCAGCAAUGGAAGAGGUAACCAUCCAUCACGGUUUUCCCAGAACAGGCUGAUUUGCGUCUUCUGUCCUGGCAUAAGGAUCCCUUCACUCUCGGAAGUGUUCCGGUUGGUAUGAUAAAUUACAUAAUCACUCUGAUUCAGUUUACAUAAGGAUCCCAAGUAUCACUAUUAUGCCUGCUUGGUUAUGAUGGAGUUGAAUUUUAGUAAAUUUGUAAUUUUUCUAAGUGCCUGUGGAGUGACUCACUGGAGUCUGAGGAAUGAGAUCAUCUUCCUGCAAUGAAUGAUAGUCUUGCUGAAGUCUCUACUAUUCCUGCUGGCUUCUUUUCUGCUAUAAAAUAUUUCUUCCUACAAAACGUUUCUUCUUGAGUCAGUUUUAUGGUUGAGGACACUGUCCAAGCUCAUGCCUUAGCUCCACAACUGGAAAGGAAAAUAUUCUUUCACCUCCCCUGCCAUUGCCAGUUUGAAAACAAUUGUAGGACUAGGUUCUGAUUGUUCUGGCUUAGAUCACAUGCCAAUUCCAAAGACAGUGGUCAGCGAGGUGCAGUCCCCACAUGGGCUUAGGUCAGGUGUUCACCUCUUGGCUGUUCAUUCUGCCCAGAGCAGUGAGGUCAAGUAGGAGAAUGGUAUCCCAACUUCAGACUAUGUGGAUCAAAGAGGAAAAGAAAUUUUCCUCCAAGAUUAGCAAGAUAUUAGCAAGGCUGGGCGUAGGCUGACCUGGUGGGAUGGCAGACUGGGCUGCUGGAGGAAUAGUGAUCUGUGCAGCCACUGUGAUUUGUCUUCUAUGAAGAGAUCAGUACACUGCCAAAUGCCAUAGCUAGUAAAGAAUACAGCCAGAAUUCAAUCCUAUAUCUUUUUUUUUAACCAGCAUGCCUUUAUUCUUAAGUUCCUUAUGCACAGUGUUUAGUUGUGAAAAAAUGGAAAAUAAAUGCCUGCCAAUAUAGCCUCUGAA
rnacentral:lncRNA from 1 species